UACGUAGGGGGCAAGCGUGGUCCGGAAUUACUGGGUGUAAAGGGAGCGUAGGCGGGGUGAUAAGGCAGAAGUGAAAAUUAUGGGCUCAACUCAUAACCUGCUUUUGAAACUGUCGCUCUUGAGUGUAGUAGAGGCAAGCGGAAUUCCUAGUGUAGCGGUGAAAUGCGUAGAUAUUAGGAGGAACACCAGCGGCGAAGGCGGCUUGCUGGGCUUUUACUGUCGACGAGGCUCGAAAGCGUGGGGAGCAGACAGG
rnacentral:rRNA from 1 species